AGUGAACGCUGGCGGCAGGCCUAAUACAUGCGAGUCGAACGGCAGCACAGCAGAGCUUGCUCUGUGGGUGGCGAGUGGCGGACGGGUGAGGAAUACAUGGGAAUCUGCCCAGUCGUGGGGGAUAACGUAUGGAAACGUACGCUAAUACCGCAUGCGCCCUUUGGGGGAAAGCCGGGGACCUUCGGGCCUGGCGCGAUUGGAUGAGCCCAUGUUCGAUUAGCUAGUUGGCGGGGUAAAGGCCCACCAAGGCGACGAUCGAUAGCUGGUCUGAGAGGAUGAUCAGCCACACUGGGACUGAGACACGGCCCAGACUCCUACGGGAGGCAGCAGUAGGGAAUAUUGGACAAUGGGCGCAAGCCUGAUCCAGCCAUGCCGCGUGAGUGAAGAAGGCCCUCGGGUUGUAAAGCUCUUUUGUCCGGAAAGAAAAGCAUUCGGUUAAUACCCGGGUGUUCUGACGGUACCGGAAGAAUAAGCACCGGCUAACUUCGUG
rnacentral:rRNA from 1 species